ensembl:lncRNA
GUUUUGAUAAACAUGGACAUGUCUAAAAGGGCCCAUAGUUUUUAUAACAGUGCACUUAAAAAAAAAACCUGUCAGGUGAUUUUGUUUUGUACUUUGAUGAGCUAACAAUCAGCUCUCUUUUUUCUCAUUUUUGCUCUAAGCAGGCCUGGAAGAGAGUGAACUGACGGCGCGGACAAAUUACCAAAGGUUCAUCUGGUCAUCAUGAAACCUCCAGAGCUCUGCUGCUGUUGGACCCACAUUCUCACCAAAACACUUCCCCUUCACUUCUAAGAAUGAAUGACUUCAGAGGUGCAAAGAGGAACAAACAGCCUUUGCAGAUUUAACUUCCUCUAUUCAGCUGUUGAACUG